UUUUCCUUCGAAUUUAGCACAAAAGUUUGAAUUUUUAUUUUAGAAAGUUUAUGAGUUGUUCAGGUGUCAUUAAACUGUGCGUUCAACGCGGGCCUGAUUUAAGCAUCUUAAUGACAACUACCACCUUCUCUGUAUUGUAUGAUUCAGCAUCCAAUUCUUUUCCUUUUUCUUAUGAAUUAAAAUUAAUGAUUAAUUUCAAAAAAAAACUUAGCUUUUAUAUUUUGAUGAUUGUAAUUUGUGGGGACAAAUCCUAAAGAAAAAGAAGUUUAUUCUCUUUUUCAAUUUUAUUUAAUCAAUUGCUAAAAUGGUUGUUUCCUCUUUGAGCAGUGAACUUAUAGAGAACCAGCUUCGAAGUGUUGUUUUACAACAGUUUUCCCCACUUGAUACCUCUGCUGCUUUGGACACUUUCCUUGACUAUUGGAAGCCAAAUGCAAUCAUGAUUUUAGAGAGUAAAGUAUGGCCAAAUCUUAUCAUGGGUUCAUCAAGUAAGUGUGUGAAUAAUCCCUUAAUGCGCGCACUAUUUUCUGAGGCAUUCCAGCAUGGAAAAGGAAGUAAUAGUAAUAAUAGCAAAUGAUUAUUUUAUACUCUGCAUUUGCUUUUGCUAUCAAGUAUUAUUGUUUCCUGACUGCUGAUUGCAUAUUCGUUCACCUUUCAGUGGUAGAAGAUUAAUUUAGAAGAGAGUAUGAUUUCUUGACUGGUUUAUGAUAUCUGUGUUCUCCGCGCUGCGCAUGGCAAUACUUAUUUCAAGUGCCCCAUUUUUGCAUUUUUUUUUUUUUGUUGGAUAUCUUGAUACACAUACUCUCAUGUCUACUUAUGUGGUUGUAAGCUGUUAACAUACCAUAAAAGUAAUAUUUGUUCAUGGUCCACAGAUUUCACUGGCACUGUUAAAUGCUCAAGUGUCUAUGAAAUCCUUUAAAUUAUGGUCACAACCAGUGCAUCUUCACUGAUUCCACUAAUGCUUUCUAAAUUUCCCUGAUCAUCCCACUGGUAUGGAUGCUAUGUUUUUUACAUUGCUUUGUUUUCUGUUGCAUCGUCACUUAUGUUGCUAUGUGCCAUAGAGUACUAUGCAGGCAAUUCACUUCCAGGUUCUGCAGGCCCCACCUUUCAUCAUUAACUUUUCUGGUGACUUGAAAUAUGGUGUGCUGAUUAACUCUACUUGAGAAAUUCUCUCCAAGAUUUUAUGGGUUGUUCAUUGUUGAAGGAGAUAAGUGUUCAAUUACACUAAAAAUGGAGCACGAUGGAAAGAAUUGAUUUAAUCGGCCAACUGUUUUGCACAUUUUCCUGUAUCAUGGUUUUUCAAUUACUCUCAAAACUCAUUUUUUACUUUUUACCAGCUAAAUUUCUUAUUUUGUGUUUCCUCAAUAUUUCUGAAAAACAUUUUAGCAAGUGCCGGAAAUAAUUAUAUAUCCUAAUCUCAAGUUACAGUUCAGCAGGAGAAUAUGAUGCUUUUAAUGGAGAUACAGGAAGCAUAGAAGAUCUGAAAGGACAGCUUGCCUCUCGGCAUGUUUGGAUGGCUUCUUGCAUACAUAGGGGUGAAGAAAAAGUUGUGCUCAGAGUUCACAAAGCACUCAUACAAGCAUAUGCUGAUCUGGUCACUACAAUUGUACCUCAGUAUCCACAACAUGGACAGGAGAUUGCUCAAGAAUUGCAGAAAGAGGGAAAUGUAGCCUUGAGGUCUCAACAUCGAAGUAUUAUGCCAGGAACACAAAUUUAUGUGGUGGACUGUGGACACGUUAGAUCUGAAAUUUUCAAUUUUGUUUUUCUUUUUCCACGAAUUGUCUUUUACUUUGCUAUAUGACUAUUGAUGUCCUCAUGUCUUUUCUCAACUAAUUAGGUGAACUGAGACAUUUGUACACGAUAUCUUCAGUAGCUGUAAUUGGAGGUUCCUUCUUGCCUGGUUUAGCUGGUCAUAAUAUACCAGAAGCUGCAGCAGCUGGCUGUGCAGUUUUGACUGGUGAAUGUUUACUCCUGGGUCAUAUUUGCUUCAUGACAUAAUAUUAUUAGAGGCUUGCUGUUUGGAUACUUUCAGGUCAUCAUGUUGGUCAUUUCUCACACAUGGUAAAGGAAAUGCAAUGCUUAAAUCCCUUAUCAGUUAUUCAGGUUUGAAGAAUCCCUUUGUGUUUAUUCUUACCUUUCAAAUGAAACAUUUUAAUUGGAAAAAGGCUCCUUUUCAAUUCUAUUUGCUAAAAUAAUAUAGAAACGUGUACACAACAUGAUGUGAUAUUUAUGCCUUGGGAGUAUGAAAAAUAGAAGAUGGAUUAAAAAACCUGGAAUCUUUUGUCAAUUUUAAUUUUAUAUGGUUAAUUAUGAAUACAUAAUUAUAAGCAGUUCAGUAUUAUGCUGUUUUAUCCCAGGUGUGUCAAGAGAUAUGUUCUUGGAUAGAAAUUUAGUUUAUUAUUUAUCGUAGGCAUUUAAUUUAUUAGUCAAAUAUUGAGAGGGAAAAAUAGGAAAAAGUUUUUUAGCUCUGUAGGAAAUAACAGUUUUUUCCCCUGGGUGGCAGGAAGGACUAAUUCAAAUCCUUAAUUUUUACUGCUCAUGCAGGUGUCCAGUACCUUAGAGCUUGAAGAAGCUAUUAUGGAACUCCUUAAUGAUACCAAAGUACUAGAUGCACGGCGCAUGGCUGCAAAACAAGCAUUUUGUGCUCUGUCCCAUGGCAUUAUUGCUAAUGUUUGGAACCUGCUAAAUUUUCAUGUUCUGAGAGUAUCUUUGCGAGAAAGUUGAUGAAGACUGGCACACAGCAAAUCGAUUGUGAAAAUGAGGUUUGUCUUUGCCUCCUGCAUGAAAGCUGUUCAUGAAAGUAGCAUCAAAGGUACUUGAAACCAAUUAGCAAAACACUUUAUGUUCAUGGCUUCAUGCAUGUAUAUGGCAGCUCUAGCCAUUUAUUCUAAGUCACACAAACUUUAGUACAAUCCCAUUCAUUGAGCACCUUUGCCCCCUUGAUUUUACAUAUUUGAUUAAGAAAACUUUUGGCUUUAGUAAAUGAUGAAAAGAAGCUUUUCUAGCAAGUUGCGAAACCAAAUAUGGUUGUUUCUAGUUAUAUUUUGCCUGUAGUUUUCUCUCUGUUUUUCUGGAAAAACAUGUAAUGUACUGCCAUUUUUUAUUGUUUUUUCCUUGACAUGUCCACCUACUUUUGAAGAUGAUAUUUGAAGUACGAUUCAAUGACAGUUCAUUUGUUUCCAUUGAUCUUCCUUUCUCUCUCCAAAUAUUUUGUAUAUGUGUUUUUGGGGUGCUUUUAUCUGUUACAGAAUCCUUUAGCCAGCAAUGUGAUUUCACUGAUAUCCCUUGGAUGGUGCUAAUCUCCGGGUUCAGUACAUCUAAUUCAAUCUUUCAUAAACUGUGCUACAGUACUGCCAGCUCUGGAGCUCAAGCUCUUGAAGUAGCAUUGAAUCCUUCAACAAACAAGAGAACUUGGCUCGCAUUUGCUUCAUGCCUUCACCUCUUUGCAAAUUGGUUGGUUGAUUAUAUCUUAGAACAGAAACACAGCACACGGUGUAACCAUAGGACCAUUUUGUUAUGACCAUACUGUUCAUAUGCUUUGUCUAGCAGGUGCCUGAAAAUUGGUUGGUUCAAAUAACCUGCUCUAAUAACAAAACUUUUACCUGCUUCCCCCACCAUGACAACUAAAUGUCCAGAAGUAACAUCUCAGGGCAGUUUCUUCUUACCUCCAGCUAACUUUCACACACAUUAGUGAUUCUCUUCAGCUUCACGAUGUUGCAAAUUUCACUUCUGUAGCUCUAUAGGAUGAGCCAUGAAGUGAUGCCUCUAGCAGUCUUCUCGAAGAUUUGGGUAUCAAAGGCGUAAGAAUGACAUUUAUUUAUCACUUAGGAGCUAAGAUAUUCUCCACUUAUGUUUCCUACAAUUAAAAAUUAUGCACAUCACAGUCCCCACAUUGUAUUUGCAAUUCUCAUCCCUUUCAGGUAGUCACCAUGAAUUCAAUCAUUGUUAAUGUGAAACACAGACGAUUCUCUGACAACUCAUUUACAUAUCCUGUCACUUGAUCAUUGAUUUUAUUAGUUAUAGUUCGUCCUUGAACAAAAUGAACAAGGUACGUAGAUUAGUCAUAUGCCUAAGUUCCCUGUUCAUUCACUUGUCCAUUUAUGAACUUCUCUAACAUGGCAAUCAUGUAAAAAUGGAGCCAGAGUUGAGAACUUGUUAGGACAAAAUUAUUCUAGAA
rnacentral:misc_RNA from 1 species